GCAGCCACAUUGCCCCACUGAAAGAGCACUGUGAGGGAACAGCAGUGGCUCCUGGCAACAGCCUGGAACUCUGCAGAGGAACUGUUGGAUAAUGUCUUGAAAUACCCUCAGGAGGUCCUUGUAAAGAGAGGAAGAUUAAAAAAGGCAGAGAAAGGUAUUGCAGCACUGAGCUCUCAUGGGAUCUACUCCUAUCAGGGAACAUUAGCGGUGCUUGCCCCAGGAGAGGACAGAGAAGAGGAAGUUCACUCUGCCAGCCCUCGCCCAAGGGUCAGUGCAGCUGCAAGCCCAGCUCUCAGGAGAACAGCGCUCAGUGCCCCUGGAAGGAGGGAGCCACCUCCAAGUACUUGGCUUCGUUGUCAGCAGAUACUUUGAGAAGUCUGCAUGGGGAAGUUUGUUGGUGCUUUGUGACUCGCCACAUUGUGGUGACUGCUGAGCCAUGUCACUUGUGGCCACAUCCACCAUCUGAGGGCAGCCACACUCACCACACACCAUGCACAGCCACGGACACUCCACAGAUCAGCUGCAAUGUGUCCCACCAUCACCUUCUCAGGAUAGGACCAGGCUCUGAUUUGUCAUCCAGACAAAUCCCAGUUUUGAGGUCCUCUUUGCCAGGCCUGCCAGCAUCCCUUACAGUGAGCUAAGCAAGUGCCACCGAGCCUGCAGAGCCCUGUUAGCGUGCACGGAGGAUGACUCACACAGACACAGCUGUCACUGCCACCCACCUCAGGAAUGGAGAGCUGUGGUGUUGGAACACUUGCAACUUGUCCUAGAAUCAGUACCCACAGGGAGUGAGCAGUCAUCCUGUGACAUGCCACCUCCGUGAGACUCUCAGGAGACUAACUGCUCACCCAUGAACGCCAGCUCGCCUUCUGCAAAAUGUCAAGCAAAGUGAUAGAGCAUGAACUGCUUCAAGUUUCUGAGAAAGAAUUUGACUGUUCACACGGGCAAUUACACCAAUAUUAGAAGGUAAUAGCAUAUUAUAGCUAAUUAUUUUUUGAUGAUACAAAGCACAGUUAGUCUGCUCUGAACCACAACAGAACAGCUGAAAUCACCGUCUCCUACACCUCUGACUUCUUUGUGAUAAUCUGGAGCAAAAAUGUGAAAAAUACUUAGACAUAUAUUUUCCCAGAUCUGCAAGCCAAUAGACUUUUUUACCAGACAGUGGUUUUUGAAAGUAGGGAGGACAGAUGGGAACAGAAAAUAACUUUGAACUGAUUAAUCUGAAUUUCGGGGGAUUAAUGAACAUGAGGAAUUUUAUGAGUAACAGUUACACUAAUUCCAAAAGGGCAAGUUUGGACAAAGCAAGGAAUGUGACUUAACAAUUUAAAGAAUUAAAAUGUUUGUCUGUGAAAAGUGCUAAGAAUAUCCAUACCAUAAAGAUACAGAAACUAUAUACAUUAACUAUGCUAAAUUUGUGCACUAAGCAGAGGGGGAAGGUCCUCAAGAUCAACCGGAUGACCAUUUAUCAUUUAAAAUAAUGUGGGAAACAAAGACAGGGUCUACUUAGAGUGAAAGGAUAUAAUCAACAGAGCAGGCCAUCUCUUGUUAGCUAAGUAGUAUUGCCAAAAUCAAGCUGAAAUAGAAAGUGAACAGCGAAGUAACAAAACCACGGCUAACAUCUCUUAGAGCAAAGGAGACUCUGCAGUCAGUACAGGGUAAAGACCAGAGAUUACCAAGGUGCAGCCCCUGAAACUAACACCCUUUUACAAACCCAUGCUGAGACAUUGUCUGGAAUAUAGCGUACAAUUCCCUAACAUUGUCUUUGGGGAACAUCUUAAGUGGAACAAAUACAAAGCAUGAAUGUCAAGGGGAGAAAAGAGUUAUUCUAAACAGGAAGCUGGCUGCAGAUGAGUCUUGGGUAGAAAUGAAGGCUUCUAGCUCAGAGGAGAGAGGCGCUGCAGCAGGUUUUAAGGAAAGGCAGUAAGAACAAGCAGGUUUACUAAUUCUGAAUCUGGCCGCAGCAGGAAAUGAAGUCUUUCUCAGUUCCCAAACCUGACAAUCUCUUUGGCUAGUGACACAUUUGUGAGAGUUUGUUAUGGAUGAGAUUAGGUGCAUCCAGGUUGGCCAGAAGAUAAAGUGCUAUGUUUUCAGCACCUCCCAAAUGCUCACUAUCUACUCACUCACUCCUUAACUGACUUUAUUAAUCACAGAAAGCGGCACUGUAGGACUUAUGGAUGAUGCUGUGCUGUGUGAGUAUUUCAGGUGAACAAAAAUCAUGGAAUAAUAGAAUCCUUGAGGUUGGAAAAGGCCUCCAAGAUCAUCCAGUCCAACCACCCACCUACCACCAAUAUUUC